rnacentral:lncRNA from 1 species
CCUGGGUCAAAUAAUAAAAAUUGUAAAACAUCAAUUCGUAUUAUUAGAGCCAUAGCUAAUACAAAAUCAUAACUUGUACACGACAAGUGUUUGGCAUAUAAACAAAACAUUUGGCCAUGUUUGAUUACAAAGAAUCUGGAACCUGGUUUGAAAACCAACAAAUUAUUUUACGGAUUUUUUCGGAUUUAGGUAACGGUGAAACCUGCCCUUAAACAAGAUUUAUCGGAGUCAAAAUGAGCGUUAUAUAACUGGUUCGUUUAUUAUAGACGAGUCCAUCUUUAGAAAAGUAAUUUGGGAUAAAAUCAUCAAUGAAAUGUAGUGUUGUGGUCAUUGAUCCGGAUGAAAUAUGCAAACACUAUAUGUGCAAAAGUAAAUUUAUUAGCGAGACACAUCUGUUGAUUUUAUGUAAAUUGGAAUUUUUAAAAAAAUGUAAAAAUUGUAACAUUUUGGAUAUAAUGUACUAUAUAAAAGAAAAAAUAUGACGACAGCAGUUGCUAAUAUGCAUUUGUCGCUAUUCUAUAAAGUUUUGAUAUACUUGUUUUUCUUACUUUUUAUGGAGGAGGCAUUUGUAAGUUUUUGAAAGACCUGAUUUUGAAACCGUAUCUGGUUUUCUUGCAAUCAAACACGACCUUAUUAUGGACCUGAGAGAUCUAUUUAGUCCAAUCUGUGUACUAAUGGAGUAUCAUUAUUUUUCUAACCUACAUGAAAAUAACUUACAUGUACAUUCUUAUAUCUUUUCUUAAAACAUAUUUGUAUCUUACGUAAAUGAAACAUGAUUUAUGAAUAAAUAAAGUACCACAUCUAUAUAUCAUAAAAAACAUUUUUAACAACCAUAAAUACAUAUGUACAAGGUAUGUUUGUUUUAGAAUAUUGUUAAUAAAAACAUUUGUUUUUGAAAAUAAUGCGCUUGAUUGAUAUAAUUGACAAAAGAUUAUAAACAAAGGUGUAUGCCUUUCGAUGUGAAACAUCUUUUCUUUUAUGGACAACCAGUAAAAGUUUUAUAGUUGACGCAAGUUAUAGGGGAUAACAUCAGUCAUUUCAAUACUGUUUUUUGUUAGUUGCUUGUUUUGCUUUGUUUUGAUCUGAUGAGUCACGCCCUUUAUAACUGAUUAUAUAAUGUGUUCUUAUGUACUUACGUUACACACCUGUCUCGGGUUGGUAAGGGAUACUGGAUAGUGCGUUUAUAUCAGUUUAACCCCGUUACUUUCUGUAUAUGCCUGUCCCAAGUCAGGAGCUUGUAAUUCUAUGGUUGUCGUUUGUUAUUGUAUAUGACAUUUGUUUUUAGUUGGUCCUUUUGUACGUAAACCAGGUUGUUGGUUUUCGAAUUUGAGUUUGCUUUCCAUUAUAUUUUGUCGGGACAUUUUCUAGCUUGCUAUGUAGUAUCGGUUUUGGUCAUUGUUGAAGGACGUACGACAACCUAUUUAUUUCCAACAUCUACGUCAUUGGUAUCUGAAGGAUAGCUGUUUUAUUGGCGAUCAUCUCCUUAUUUUAUGUUCAAACUAGGAAAUGUCAAGUUAGAACAUAGAAAUGUCAAAAUGAACAUUCGAAAUGAUAAAAAUAGAAAGCC